CACGUAGUUAGCCGUGACUUUCUGGCGGGGCACCAUCAGUCAGCACCCAUUUCCUGAUGCUGCCUUUUUUCCCCCGCAACAGAGCUUUACGACCCGAAGGCCUUCUUCACUCACGCGGCAUCGCUCGUUCAGGCUUGCGCCCAUUGACGAAAACUCCCUACUGCUGCCUCCCGCAGGAGUCUGGGCCGUGUCUCAGUCCCAAUGUGGCCGUCCGCCCUCUCAGGCCGGCUAUGCAUCAUCGUCUUGGUGGGCCUUUACCCCGCCAACCAACUAAUGCACCGCAGGUCCAUCCGCGCCCCAUCCCCUAAAGGAUGUUUCACAGAAAGAAGAUGCCUCCUUCCUGUACAGUCGGGUACUUCGUUCCUUCCGUUUCCAGAGUCGUACUUCCCGGUGCCGCGGGCUACGGUUCCCUACGUCGUUACCCCGACCGUUCGCCACGUAGACGACCCGAAGUCUC
rnacentral:rRNA from 1 species